rnacentral:ncRNA from 1 species
GCGCAGAGUAGAAGCGUUCAGCCGCGGCCCGGUUCGGCCCACGGUGGGAAAUUGCUCUUUCA